rnacentral:rRNA from 1 species
UACGUAGGGACCAAGCGUUGUUCGGAAUUACUGGGCGUAAAGCGCACGUAGGCGGCUUUGUAAGUUAGAGGUGAAAGCCCGGGGCUCAACCCCGGAAUUGCCUUUAAGACUGCAUCGCUUGAAUCCGGGAGAGGUGAGUGGAAUUCCGAGUGUAGAGGUGAAAUUCGUAGAUAUUCGCAAGAACACCAGUGGCGAAGGCGGCUCACUGGCCCGAUACUGACGCUGAGGCACGAAAGCGUGGGGAGCAAACAGG